UAUCAAGUAGAAGAGAUCAUCAGAUUCGAAACCUAUCGCCUAAAAUGACUGGAUGGGACAGUCCUAUCUUGCCCCGAAACUUAGAAAACCUUUGCAUGUACUAUAGAUGAUAUAUCUAGUUAAUAAAAAAGAUAUUUUCUUUUGAAUGAUCUUAUCUAUCAUUCGGUCUCCAGCUCAUGUUCAAUGCAUGCCCUGCGAUGAAGCCCCUAUGAUGUUGGAAGAGCAUCCGAAGCUCCCACCU
rnacentral:lncRNA from 1 species